CGCUGGCGGCACGCCUAACACAUGCAAGUCGAACGGAGUAGCAAUACUUAGUGGCAGACGGGUGAGUAACAUGUGGGUAUCUACCCUUUGGCCUGGAAUAACACGAGGAAACUUGUGCUAAUACUGGAUAAGUCUUUACGGAGAAAGCUUUAUGCACCAUUGGAUGAGCCUGCACUUGAUUAGUUUGUUGGUAGGGUAAUGGCCUACCAAGACUUUGAUCAAUAGCUGAUUUGAGAGGAUGAUCAGCCACAUUGGGACUGAGACACGGCCCAAACUCCUACGGGAGGCAGCAGUGGGGAAUCUUGCACAAUGGAGGAAACUCUGAUGCAGCGAUGCCGCGUGAGUGAAGAAGGCCUUUGGGUUGUAAAGCUCUUUCGUCGGGGAAGAAAAUGACUGUACCCGAAUAAGAAGGUCCGGCUAACUUCGUGCCAGCAGCCGCGGUAAUACGAAGGGACCUAGCGUAGUUCGGAAUUACUGGGCUUAAAGAGUUCGUAGGUGGUUGAAAAAGUUGGUGGUGAAAUCCCAGAGCUUAACUCUGGAACUGCCAUCAAAACUUUUCAGCUAGAGUUUGAUAGAGGAAAGCAGAAUUUCUAGUGUAGAGGUGAAAUUCGUAGAUAUUAGAAAGAAUACCAAUUGCGAAGGCAGCUUUCUGGAUCAUUACUGACACUGAGGAACGAAAGCAUGGGUAGCGAAGAGGAUUAGAUACCCUCGUAGUCCAUGCCGUAAACGAUGUGUGUUAGACGUUGGAAAUUUAUUUUCAGUGUCGCAGCGAAAGCGAUAAACACACCGCCUGGGGAG
rnacentral:rRNA from 1 species